rnacentral:rRNA from 1 species
GACGAACGCUGGCGGCGUGCUUAACACAUGCAAGUCGAACGGAAAGGCCCUGCUUUUGUGGGGUGCUCGAGUGGCGAACGGGUGAGUAACACGUGAGUAACCUGCCCUUGACUUUGGGAUAACUUCAGGAAACUGGGGCUAAUACCGGAUAGGAGCUCCUGCUGCAUGGUGGGGGUUGGAAAGUUUCGGCGGUUGGGGAUGGACUCGCGGCUUAUCAGCUUGUUGGUGGGGUAGUGGCUUACCAAGGCUUUGACGGGUAGCCGGCCUGAGAGGGUGACCGGCCACAUUGGGACUGAGAUACGGACCAGACUCCUACGGGAGGCAGCAGUGGAGAAUAUUGCACAAUGGGCGGAAGCCUGAUGCAGCAACGCCGCGUGCGGGAUAACGGCCUUCGGGUUGUAAACCGCUUUCGCCUGUGACGAAGCGUGAGUGACGGUAAUGGGUAAAGAAGCACCGGCUAACUACGUG